UUCCCUUCUGAAAGAGCAUUAACAUCCCUCA
rnacentral:piRNA from 1 species